CCUCCUGUGGUGCAAUGGGUCAGUGCCUCUGGCUCUUAACCAGAAGGUUGUUGGUUCGAGCCUACCCAGGUUAGGA